CCAUAACUCCGAGCUUUUUUCACUAAGUUGCUACGUGCUGUUUGAUUUAUUCAUAAAAGAAAAAUCAAUAUCAAUAAGUGAUUAACGCCAGUGACAUAAUGUCACCAGGGUUGGUUUAGAAAUGAAUCGGCCUCCCGUAUUUGGAAAGGUGUUCCGUGGCUA
rnacentral:ncRNA from 1 species